CUCUUCUUUUGGUACAGGAGUACACAUAUGCACCAUUGCAUUUCACACAGAAUGAAAGAGAGGUGGUCUUGUUCUACAAAGUUUUAGUUAAACAAGAAAAAUGAGCAUGCUUUGCAACAACCAUCCUUUUCUAAUGCACUUAAUAAUUCUCUGUUUCAGAGCAGUAUGUGGCUAGUGACUUAUCUUCCUGAGGAGAGUGACCGAGAUGUCUGUUUGGAAUUAUUCCUGGAAUUAGACCAGCAUGAGGUCUCCUCUACCAAUCUAAGUUUGACAUACCUGGUGCGUUGGCACAGUUGCUUUGCAAAAGGAAAUGGUGAGAAGCGAACCCUCUGUGGGCAAACCAUCAGCAGCAGGGGCAGCAUCUCUUGAGCACGCAUGGCUGGCAUAGGCACAUGCAGCAGGACCGCUGGCUCAUGGGCAGCUGCUCCAGAAGCAUGCGUUUCUGCACGGGAUGGUGCUGACAUGUAGCAAGAACGAAGCAUGAUGGUAUGGAAGAGCAGUGACUGGCACACCAGCUGGCCAGUGCAGGCUUUCUUCUCCUAAACCAAGCUUUGCAGCCCCAGCCCCUGGCAAAUGGGUGCCUCCAGGAGUUCAAGAAAGAGCCCGGAUAGGCACAACGGCCGAGCAUGGUGGUGGUUUGCAGCUGGAGGGCAGAGAGGAGUGGCUGGGUUGGCUGGGGUGGCACAGACCAACAGACCCGUCUGCAGCUGGCUGCCCGGAGUGGUUACAGACGCACUGCUGGACAGUGGAGUUGGAGAAUUGAUCUUUUGAGCCCCAACUGAGGGCAUAAACGUGGUCCUUGGCUACCUGAUACUGACUCAUGUGUUUCCUGCGAGCAGAAAUGUACAACUGUUGUUGUGUUUGCAAAAACACCUGGUCUUUGGUUAACAAACAAGUUUAUUUUACCAGUGCCAAGUACUUAGUGAAAUAUUUAUUAGUAAAGUACUUAUUACUGAAGUAACUUCUGUUUGUUACGCUUAUAGAAUAUGGGCUGUGAUGACAGUCCUAUUUUACUUCAGGUACAAAAUACAAAUGAUCAUACAAACGAAAAUACAACGAUUCCUAACUUCAGUCUUCCCACGUUCUGAAUAAAUGCUGAUCUUGCAACA
rnacentral:lncRNA from 1 species